rnacentral:pre_miRNA from 1 species
CUGUGAGCUGCUGCGUGGUGAGUUUCUCGCUAGCCAAGCGCUACCACAGGGUAGAACCACGGAC